GCUUCAAAUAAACCCAAUCCCCUACUGCAAAUUCUCUCUCUGUUCGAUUCUUGUUAGCCUGGUGUCUCAUUCUAUUCUGAGCUUUCUGCAAAUUCUCUUUAAGAAGAUUGUUUAGGUGUUGUCUGUUUUGAAGAAAUUGGUUCACGGCUGCCACAGAUGAUUCUUCAGCAAUUCUAUAAGAAAAAAGUGGUGGAACAUAACCAUA
rnacentral:misc_RNA from 1 species